CAUGCCUAGUCUUUUUUUUUAUAUUCAGUUGUAGUUAUUAAUACCUUUAUUUAUUUAUUUAUUUUCAUGCGAUGCUGAGGAUUGAACCUAGGGCCUUGUGUGUAGGUGAGUGCUCCCUGCUGAGCCACGCCCAGCCCCUCAUGCCUAGUCUUUUCAGGAGCCUCCAUACUGAUUUCUGCGGUGGUUGUAACAAUUUAAAUCCCAGCAAGAGCGUAAAGUGUCCCCUUUGUCCCCUCUCCAGCACUUGUUGUUUGUAUUCUUGAUGACUGCCCUUCUGACUGGGGUGAGAGGAAGUCUCAGUGUAGUUUUGAUUUGCAUGUCCCUAUUUGCUAGAGAUGUUGAGCAUUUUUUCAUGUGUUUAUUGGCCUUUUGUAUUUCUUCUUUGGAGAAGUGUCUGUUUAAUUCAUUUUCCCACUCAUUGAUUGGGCUGUUUUUCUCUUGUGAGGUUUUGUGAGUUCUUUAUAUAUUCUAGAUAUUAACUCUCUGUCAGAAGAGGAGUCAGCCAAGGUUUCUCCUAUUCUGUAGAUUCUCUCUUCAUGCUCUAGUUGCCUUUGCUGUGCAAAAGCUUUUGAAUUUGAUGCCAUCCCAUUUAUUAAUCCUGGGUAUUCCUUCUAGCUUUGGAGUCCUGUUGAGGAAGUCCAAGCCUGCAUCCACCUAUACAGGUGUGUUGAUCUUAUGUUCUCUUCUAGGAGUUGCAUGGUUUGGGGUCUGAUUCCUAGGUCUGUGAUCCAUUUUGAGUUGACUUCUGUGCAGGGUGAGCAAUAGGGAUCCAUUCUCAUUCUUCUACAUAUGUAUGACCAGUUUUAUCAGCACCAUUUGUUAAAAAGGUGCCUUUGCUCCAAUAUGUUUUAGGCACCUUUGUGAAGGGUCAGAUGAUGGUAUCUGUGUGGGUUUGUCUGUGUCUUCUAUUCUGUUGUUCUGUGUGUCUGUUUUAUGCCAGUACCAUGCUGUUUUUUUUACUAUAGCUCUUUAGUAUAAUUUGAAGUCAGAUAUUUGAUGCCUCUAGCCUGGCUCUUAUUGCUCAGAAUUGCUUUGGCUACUCUGAGUCUUUUAUUCUUCUAAAGGAAUUUUAGACUGUUUCCCCCCUUGUUCUGUGAAGAAAGUCAUUGGUGUUUUGACGGGAUUGCACUGAUCUGUAUGUGCUUUUGGAAAGGUGCCAUUUGGACAGUGUUAAUUCUGCACGUCUGUGGACACGGAGGGCUUCCCAUCUUCUUGUGUCUCCUUCCGUUUCUUUCUUCAGUGUAGUUCUGUAGACGUCUUUUACUUCCUGGGUCAGAUUCCUACGUGUGUGUGUGUGUGUGUGUGUGUGUUUGUGGUUUUAGGUUUUUGUGAAUGGGAUAAUUUUCCUGAUUUCUUUCUCAGCAGAUUCAUUAUCUGUGUAGAGGAAAGCUAGUGAUCUUUGUAUGUUGAUUUUGUAACUUGUUGUUUGCUGAACGUGUUCAUCGGCUUGAGCUUUCUGUAUGGUCUGAGUACAGGACCCACCAUCUGAAGCACCAGUGACGUGACCUCUUCCUUUUGUGUUUCUGUCCCUUUCCUUCCUCUCCUGCCUGGUGGCUAGAGUGUCUGUGCUGUAUUAAUGAGAGUGGUCAGAGUGCACACUCCUGUCUUGCUCCAGGUUUUAAAGAAGGGCUCUCGAGCGGGUUAUGACUCUCCAAGUUGCUCAGGUUGGCUCUGAGUUCUUGAUCGUCCUGCCUCAGCCUCCCGAGCUGCUGGGAUCAUAGGUGUGCACCAUAUUCUUGCAACCCUGGAAUAAAACCACCUUGUUCAUGGUGUGCAGUCUUCUUAAUGUGUUCAACACAGCUUGCUGAUACUAAGGUUUCUUUGCAUGUAUGGUCAUCAGAAAUAUUGGUCUGUAGUUUUACUCUUUCUUUCUCUCUCUCUCUCUCUCUCUCUCUCUUUCCUGGGGAUUGAACCCAAGAGCAAUUUACCAUAUCCCCCAGCUCUGUUUAUUUAUUUAAAUAUUUAUUUUUUAGUUGUAGUUGAACACGAUAUCUUUUUUAUUCAUUUAUUUAUUUAUUUCUGUGUGGUGCUGAGGAUCGAACCC
rnacentral:lncRNA from 1 species